rnacentral:tRNA from 5 species
GCUGCCGUAGCUCAGUGGUAGAGCACUCCCUUGGUAAGGGAGAGGUCGGUGGUUCAAUCCCACUCGGCAGCACCA